UACGUAGGGUGCAAGCGUUGUCCGGAAUUAUUGGGCGUAAAGAGCUCGUAGGCGGUCUGUCGCGUCGAAUGUGAAAACCCGGGGCUCAACCCCGGGCCUGCAUUCGAUACGGGCAGACUAGAGUUCGGUAGGGGAGUCUGGAAUUCCUGGUGUAGCGGUGAAAUGCGCAGAUAUCAGGAGGAACACCGGUGGCGAAGGCAGCUCGCUGGGACGUUACUGACACUGAGGCGCGAAAGCGUGGGGAGCGAACAGG
rnacentral:rRNA from 1 species